rnacentral:rRNA from 1 species
UUUUUAUGGAGAGUUUGAUCCUGGCUCAGGAUGAACGCUGGCGGCGUGCCUAAUACAUGCAAGUCGAGCGAACAGACGAGGAGCUUGCUCCUCUGACGUUAGCGGCGGACGGGUGAGUAACACGUGGAUAACCUACCUAUAAGACUGGGAUAACUUCGGGAAACCGGAGCUAAUACCGGAUAAUAUAUUGAACCGCAUGGUUCAAUAGUGAAAGACGGUUUUGCUGUCACUUAUAGAUGGAUCCGCGUC